GUCGAUAUGGCCGAGUGGUUAAGGCGGUUGAUUCGAAAUCAACUGGGCGUGCCCGCGCAGGUUCGAAUCCUGCUGUCGACG
rnacentral:tRNA from 3 species